rnacentral:rRNA from 1 species
CUUUCGGGGUACACGAGCGGCGAACGGGUGAGUAACACGUGGGUGAUCUGCCCUGCACUUCGGGAUAAGCCUGGGAAACUGGGUCUAAUACCGGAUAUGACCUCCUAUCGCAUGGUGGGUGGUGGAAAGAUUUAUCGGUGCAGGAUGGGCCCGCGGCCUAUCAGCUUGUUGGUGGGGUAAUGGCCUACCAAGGCGACGACGGGUAGCCGACCUGAGAGGGUGACCGGCCACACUGGGACUGAGACACGGCCCAGACUCCUACGGGAGGCAGCAGUGGGGAAUAUUGCACAAUGGGCGAAAGCCUGAUGCAGCGACGCCGCGUGAGGGAUGACGGCCUUCGGGUUGUAAACCUCUUUCAGCAGGGACGAAGCGCAAGUGACGGUACCUGCAGAAGAAGCACCGGCUAACUACGUGCCAGCAGCCGCGGUAAUACGUAGGGUGCAAGCGUUGUCCGGAAUUACUGGGCGUAAAGAGUUCGUAGGCGGUUUGUCGCGUCGUUUGUGAAAACCAGCAGCUCAACUGCUGGCUUGCAGGCGAUACGGGCAGACUUGAGUACUGCAGGGGAGACUGGAAUUCCUGGUGUAGCGGUGAAAUGCGCAGAUAUCAGGAGGAACACCGGUGGCGA